AAAACGUUUAUAUUUAGCAGAAAGUUCCAGCCAGAAUAAACAUUAAAGAUAAAAUUCCUACACAUUUUGGAGUUUACUCACAAGUGAAAACAAUUGCACGGUCAUAUUCAGAUAUAAAGAUCAUUAAGAACUGUGAAGAGUUUGAGAUUUUGUCCCACUUGAAAGCUAACAAAUUAAACUGCUACCGUUUUAGAAAGGCUGAUGGUAGACAUGCGAUCAUUGGGUCAGAGCCAAAUGACAUUCUCACUCACGGUCCAGCGAGCAGUAUGAGCAUCAGAACCAUUGCUUCCGAACCCCUUGCCUUGAAAUCACACUAGGCAAUGUCAAUGGGAUCAGAUUAAGACCUGCAUGCACAGUAGGUUAGGUUACAAAAUAAUUCUGAGUUUAGGCCAAAGCUUUAAAAGUGAGUAAUACACUUGCCUGCACUUUUCUCAGGAGGCAGACACUAUCUCCAAUCUUCAAAAACUGUUCCUUAUACAAACAUCCUUGAAAAGAUAGUGUGGAAUAAAGGAAAACCAGUUCCCUGUUGACAAGAGGUGCAGAAACAGAGGUUCCAGAAGAAUUGACUCCCAGUGAAAAGUGGAAAUUUUCCUUCACUUACAUUUGUCUGAACUCUUUUGGAUAUGUUAAAAAGUGAUUUAAGGAAGAGCAACAAGAACACUGAUUUUGGACCUUCACAAGGAAUCCCUUUUUCCUAGAUGGUAUGUUGUCUGAAUGAAGAAACCCCGCAAAGUGUGGGGAGCCCCCAAGACCAUGGCUUCAAGGAGUUUCUAACUUUGAUGCUACUCUAUGGUUUCCAGAAAUUCAUUAAAAUUACCAAAGCCCUCACCUCCUCUAAAGGAAGACUGCUGAAAAGAAAUGUCAAGCAAGACCUGCAGAAAAGCAGUUACUCAAGUCAAAUGGAUUUUAUAAAAACAUUUGCAUUCUCUUCCUUAAAUGUACGCUUUUGUAAAGAAUAAAAGUGAAAAGGACUAAGUGAGUCUUAGGAGAGAAAUUGUGAACUUGGCAUACUGGUGUUAAUCACUGAGUUGAGAUAAACUUUUCCAGUCCAGUCACAUUUAUGUUUACCCAAAAGUUGACUCGCAUUCUUUAUAUUCUCACUAUGAGGUUUUAUUUUUUUCUUCUUACCGUCUGAAUCCUUGUGCCUAACAAUUUGUCAUUGUUACCAUCUUUGAUUACUUUUUGUCAACCUUUCUCAUGUAUGUAAAUUUUCUCCAGCUGUUCCUAAUGUUCAUGGACAUCCUUCAAAUAAAUACAACUUUCUUUUUGAACUUUCAACUCAGUGUGUUGCCUGGAAUACUUUAUGAAGUAAAGGUGCAAGACACCAUUACCUAAGAACACAGCAGCCAUUAUGGAAUAUUCAACCAAAAGGGUCACAAUCCAACAAUGUGUAAAAAGAAUUAUACACCAUGACUAAGGGGGAUUUGUUCCAAAUAUAUAAGACUGGUUCAACAUUUGACAAUCAAUCAAUAUAAUCCGACAUAUCGAAAGGCUAGAGAAGAAAAAUCAUAUAAUCAUAUCGGUCAAUACAAAGAUUUACACAAUCUAACACACCUUCAUAAUAAAA